rnacentral:rRNA from 1 species
AAAUCUGGUACCUUUGGUGCCCGAGUUGUAAUUUGUAGAGUACCACUUUGGGACUAUACUUUGCCUAUGUUCCUUGGAACAGGACGUCAUGGAGGGUGAGAAUCCCGUAUGGCGAGGGUGUUAGUUCUUUGUAAAGGGUGCUCGAAGAGUCGAGUUGUUUGGGAAUGCAGCUCUAAGUGGGUGGUAAAUUCCAUCUAAAGCUAAAUACAGGCGAGAGACCGAUAGCGAACAAGUACAGUGAUGGAAAGAUGAAAAGAACUUUGAAAAGAGAGUGAAAAAGUACGUGAAAUUGUUGAAAGGGAAGGGCAUUUGAUCAGACAUGGUGUUUUGCGCCCCUCGCUCCUUGUGGGUGGGGGACUCUCGCAGCUCACUGGGCCAGCAUCAGUUUUUGCGGCAGGACAAAACCUUGGGAAUGUAGCUGUGCGCCUCGGUGUACAGUGUUAUAGCUCUUGGGAAUACUGCCAGCGGGGACUGAGGACUGCGAUACUUGUUAUCUAGGAUGCUGGCAUAAUGGUUAUAUGCCGCCCGUCU